rnacentral:rRNA from 1 species
GAUGAACGCUAGCUACAGGCUUAACACAUGCAAGUCGAGGGGAAACGAUGAGAGAGCUUGCUCUCUUAGUCGUCGACCGGCGCACGGGUGAGUAACGCGUAUCCAACCUGCCUCUGACCAAGGGAUAACCCGUCGAAAGUCGGACUAAUACCUUAUGCAGUCGUCGGAAGUCAUCUGAUGACGACGAAAGAUUUCAUCGGUGAGAGAUGGGGAUGCGUCUGAUUAGCUUGUUGGCGGGGUAACGGCCCACCAAGGCGACGAUCAGUAGGGGUUCUGAGAGGAAGGUCCCCCACAUUGGAACUGAGACACGGUCCAAACUCCUACGGGAGGCAGCAGUGAGGAAUAUUAGUCAAUGGGCGUAAGCCUGAACCAGCCAAGUAGCGUGCAGGAUGACGGCCCUAUGGGUUGUAAACUGCUUUUAUGCGGGGAUAAAGUGAGGGACGUGUCCUUCAUUGCAGGUACCGCAUGAAUAAGGACCGGCUAAUUCCGU